GAAAGGGUGUGGUGGCCGCAGAGACCAGUGGGUAGCGACUGUUUACUAAAAACACAGGUCCGUGCCAAGUCGCAAGACGAUGUAUACGGACUGACGCCUGCCCGGUGCUGGAAGGUUAAGAGGACGGGUUAGCCGUAAGGCGAAGCUCAGAAUUUAAGCCCCAGUAAACGGCGGUGGUAACUAUAACCAUCCUAAGGUAGCGAAAUUCCUUGUCGGGUAAGUUCCGACCUGCACGAAUGGCGUAACGACUUCCCAACUGUCUCAACCACGAACUCGGCGAAAUUGCAUUACGAGUAAAGAUGCUCGUUACGCGCAGCAGGACGGAAAGACCCCGUGACCUUUACUACAGCUUGGUAUUGGUGUUCGGUGUGGCUUGUGUAGGAUAGGUGGGAGACUGUGAAGCAGACACGCCAGUGUUUGUGGAGUCGUUGUUGAAAUACCACUCUGGUCACUCUGGAUGUCUAACUUCGAACCGUAAUCCGGUUCAGGGACAGUGCCUGGUGGGUAGUUUAACUGGGGCGGUUGCCUCCCAAAGAGUAACGGAGGCGCCCAAAGGUUCCCUCAGCCUGGUUGGCAAUCAGGUGGCGAGUGUAAGUGCACAAGGGAGCUUGACUGUGAGACUGACAGGUCGAGCAGGGACGAAAGUCGGGACUAGUGAUCCGGCAGUGGCUUGUGGAAGCGCUGUCGCUCAACGGAUAAAAGGUACCUCGGGGAUAACAGGCUGAUCUUGCCCAAGAGUCCAUAUCGACGGCAUGGUUUGGCACCUCGAUGUCGGCUCGUCGCAUCCUGGGGCUGGAGUAGGUCCCAAGGGUUGGGCUGUUCGCCCAUUAGAGCGGUACGCGAGCUGGGUUUAGAACGUCGUGAGACAGUUCGGUCCCUAUCCGCUGCGCGCGUAGGAAGUUUGAGAGGAUCUGACCCUAGUACGAGAGGACCGGGUUGGACGAACCUCUGGUGUGUCAGUUGUUCCGCCAGGAGCACCGCUGAUUAGCUACGUUCGGGAUGGAUAACCGCUGAAAGCAUCUAAGCGGGAAGCCGGCCUCAAGAUGAGACUUCCAUACCUACGGGCGAGAGGCUCCCAGCAGACUACUGGGUUGAUAGGCCAGAUGUGGAAGCGUGGUAACACGUGCAGCUGACUGGUACUAAUAAGCCGAUGACUUGAUAAC
rnacentral:rRNA from 1 species